rnacentral:rRNA from 1 species
AUACGGAGGAUCCGAGCGUUAUCCGGAUUUAUUGGGUUUAAAGGGUGCGCAGGCGGGAGAUUAAGUCGGCGGUGAAAUUUUGCAGCUCAACUGUAAAAGUGCCUUCGAAACUGGUUUCCUUGAGUGGAGAUGAAGUAGGCGGAAUUUGUGGUGUAGCGGUGAAAUGCAUAGAUAUCACGAGGAACUCCGAUUGCGCAGGCAGCUUACUAAACUACUACUGACGCUCAGGCACGAAGGCGUGGGGAUCAAACAGGAUUAGAUACCCUGGUAGUCCACGCAGUAAACGAUGAUUACUAGCUGUUUGCGAUACAAUGUAAGCGGCUGAGCGAAAGCGUUAAGUAAUCCACCUGGGGAGUACGUUCGCAAGAAUGAAACUCAAAGGAAUUGACGGGG